UACAGAGGUCUCAAGCGUUGUUCGGAUUCAUUGGGCGUAAAGGGUGCGUAGGCGGCGCGGUAAGUCGGGUGUGAAAUCUUGGAGCUUAACUCCGAAACUGCAUUCGAUACUGCCGUGCUUGAGGACUGGAGAGGAGACUGGAAUUUACGGUGUAGCGGUGAAAUGCGUAGAUAUCGUAAGGAAGACCAGUGGCGAAGGCGGGUCUCUGGACAGUUCCUGACGCUGAGGCACGAAGGCCGGGGAGCAAACGGG
rnacentral:rRNA from 1 species